UACGUAGGGUGCGAGCGUUGUCCGGAAUUAUUGGGCGUAAAGAGCUCGUAGGCGGUCUGUCGCGUCGGUCGUGAAAACUUGGGGCUUAACCCUGAGCUUGCGGUCGAUACGGGCAUGACUGGAGUUCGGUAGGGAGACUGGAAUUCCUGGUGUAGCGGUGAAAUGCGCAGAUAUCAGGAGGAACACCGGUGGCGAAGGCGGGUCUCUGGGCCGAUACUGACGCUGAGGAGCGAAAGCGUGGGGAGCAAACAGG
rnacentral:rRNA from 1 species